rnacentral:rRNA from 1 species
AGAGAUGUGUGAUGACGCAUAUCAAUAAGCGGAGGAAAAGAAACUAACAAGGAUUCCCUUAGUAACGGCGAGUGAAGCGGGAAGAGCUCAAAUUUGAAAUCUUCAAGGUUCUACCUUGACGAAUUGUAGUUUAUAGAAGUGUUUUCUGUUAGUGGAGUGGCAAAAGUUCUUUGGAAUAGGACAUCAUAGAGGGUGAGAAUCCCGUAUUUGGUCAUUCCUCCUAGCGUUGUGAUACACUUUCAACGAGUCGGAUUGUUUGGGAAUGCAGUCCAAAAUGGGUGGUAAAUUUCAUCUAAAGCUAAAUAUUGGCGAGAGACCGAUAGCGAACAAGUACCGUGAGGGAAAGAUGAAAAGAACUUUGAAAAGAGAGUUAAACAGUACGUGAAAUUGUCAAAAGGGAAGCGUUUGACACCAGUGUUGUUUUUCUGAAAAUCAAUUACGAAUGUUUUAUUUUUGAGGAGUAUAUGACUUCAUCGGCUUGCUCCUUUCUUUACUGAAACUUUCUUAAUGCACUUUUCGGUUAACAAGUCAACAUCAAUUUCUUUUGUUGUAAAAGAGUAUGAGGAAGGUGGCUUUCUUUUCGGAGAAAGUGUUUAUAGCCUUGUACCUCUGCAAUCGGAGAGAUUGAGGUCUGCAGCGUAGAUCCUUCGGGGUUAGAUACAUUUGUGCUAAGUUAUAGCUUUUCAUAGACAACUUGUUGACUAUGUUUAGUCUUGUAGCUUACUCGCUUAUGCUAUUUUACCUACGCUUAGGAUGUUGACAGCAGUAUAGACUGU